AAUGCGACCUCCUUUACCCAGCUGUUUGACUUCAGGGGAUUUUCCCCAAGCCCUUGCUACUUACAGCUUGGUCUGGUGCCAUCAGGGAAACGGAAUCAAAAUUUGCAUUAAAAAUAUUUUAUUUCGCUUUUUAAGUGCAUGUACCUGAACGGGACACUUGAGGCGUCAGGAGGCAGCUGGCCACACUGAGUUCCCUGCGGGGAAGCAGAGGCUGAUGAAUGCAGGUGGAGUGCUUGGAGGACACAGAGCAUCCAAAGCCACGACAGGAAAGUGGGGAGCCCUGCCAGUGGGACAUCAUGGCUCUCUGUGGCUGUCCAGGAGUUAUAAUCCUUGUUGAAGACUAACUGAAGGUGAACUUGAGCCGGUUCCUGGAACGUUCGCUUUUUAUCUUGGUAGUUAAGUGGAGACUGGAUGCCAGGCUAUUAGUGCUUGUGGGACUUUGUGCAAAUUUGUAUCUUGUAUAAGUCUUGAUUUUUUCCCCCGCUGUAGUUAGAAUAAAGGAGUUAGGUCUUGUA